rnacentral:lncRNA from 1 species
AGUUGCCUCUGUGAUCAUCUGACCACCACCUCAUCAUUAUUGUCUACCUAAGCCUCAGGACUGACCAGAAUAAGCUGGAUUCAGCUCAAAUCACAGGAAAUUUUUUAGACACUGAGAAGCGACUCCCUUCAUGUUCUGCUGGAGCCACAGCUGACCUGGACCUAUGGUACAGGGGGAAAUUUUCACCCUAACGCAGCUCAGAAGUCAUUUGACUCAGUCUGUGUCCCUCAAGAAAAGUGACGGAGGAUGGCAAGAGUCAUGUGCCAUCUCAUCUCCCAGGCCCGCCCCUGCCAGCUCUUAUCUGAAUUUUAACCUAUGGGAAGAGAGCAAUGGGAUGAUGACAUCAGUACUUUAAAUAUAUCAUUAGAAUAGAGAUCAUCGUGACUUAACUCCGGCUGGGACCAUUGAUUGCUGUACGGAGGCCAGUGACAAGGAGGUCAUCGCAGUGUCACCCAGGACUGUGCUGAUGGCAGCAGAGAGGUUAAAAGUAAAGUCCAGAGACAUCUAGAGAUCUGCCGACCGCCAUGCCACGCUGUUCUGGUCCUUGACGGGGAAAGAUGCCCACAAAGCCCAGACAG